AUUGAACGCUGGCGGCAGGCUUAACACAUGCAAGUCGAGCGGGGAAGUAUAGCUUGCUAUACGACCUAGCGGCGGACGGGUGAGUAAUGCUUAGGAAUCUGCCUAUUAGUGGGGGACAACAUUCCGAAAGGAAUGCUAAUACCGCAUACGCCCUACGGGGGAAAGCAGGGGAUCUUCGGACCUUGCGCUAAUAGAUGAGCCUAAGUCAGAUUAGCUAGUUGGUGGGGUAAAGGCCUACCAAGGCGACGAUCUGUAGCGGUUCUGAUAGGAUGAUCCGCCACACGGGGACUGAGACACGGCCCAGACUCCUACGGGAGGCCGCAGUGGGGAAUAUUGGACAAUGGGCGAAAGCCUGAUCCAGCCAUGCCGCGUGUGUGAAGAAGGCCUUUUGGUUGUAAAGCACUUUAAGCGAGGAGGAGGCUACCGAGAUUAAUACCCUUGGAUAGUGGACGUUACUCGCAGAAUAAGCACCGGCUAACUCUGUGCCAGCCGCCGCAGUAAAAC
rnacentral:rRNA from 1 species